CAUUAAUGUUUUAACACUGAGGCAUAUCUGGGCUGUCGCUGACCACUUUCGUAGUCGUGCACGCCUGGGUUGCUCUCACACACAAAUCCAUCUCACCCCUUUUGUGCACCAUCGCGUGGGCCUUCUCUGGCCUGCGUUUUCUUCUUUACAAACAACACACCCUUUUGAUGUAGAGCAGAAUGUAUCUUUUAAUGAUGAAUCUCUAAUACAACUUUCAACAACGGAUCUCUUGGCUCUCGCAUCGAUGAAGAACGCAGCGAAAUGCGAUACGUAAUGUGAAUUGCAGAAUUCAGUGAAUCAUCGAAUCUUUGAACGCAUCUUGCGCCCCUUGGCAUUCCGAGGGGCACACCCGUUUGAGUGUCGUGACACCCUCAAAACCUUUCUUGGUUUAUUUCAAGAAGGGUUUUGGACUUUGGAGGUUUUUGCUGGCCUGGUUCAGCUCCUCUUAAAUGAAUUAGCAGGGUCUUUGCUUUGCCGAUCCUUGACGUGAUAAUAAUACAUUUGUACGUCUUGAGAGGCGUUUUGCUUUUGUGACUCGCUUCUAACUGUCUUUGUAAAGAGAGACAACUUUAUGAACCUUGACCUCAAAUCGGGUGAGACUACCCGCUGAACUUAAGCAUAUCAAUAAGCGGAGGAAAAGAAACUAACAAGGAUUCCCCUAGUAACUGCGAGUGAAGCGGGAAAAGCUCAAAUUUAAAAUCUGGUGGUCUUUGGCCAUCCGAGUUGUAAUCUAGAGAAGCGUCUUCCGCGCCGGACCGUGCACAAGUCUCCUGGAAUGGAGCGUCAUAGAGGGUGAGAAUCCCGUCUUUGGCACGGACGCGUCGGUGCUAUGCGA
rnacentral:rRNA from 1 species